rnacentral:rRNA from 1 species
GUAUAUAGCCAUGCUACCCUGAACAAGCCUGAUCCUGUCUGAUCUUGGAAGCUAAGCAGGGUUGGGCCUGGUUACUACUUGGAUGGGAGACCACCUAGGAAGACCAGGUGCUGUAGGCA